UUUUGUUUAGGGUUUUAACACAUUUCUGAUGGCUACGACGGCUACACCGGCGGCAACCAGUACAGCGACAACUUCCGAGAAGAAGAAGCCGGUGUUUGUCAAAGUGGAAAGCCUAAAACCUGGAACACAUGGUCAUAAUUUGACGGUUAAAGUUGUUGAAUCGAACACUGUCAAGGCCACCGGCGGCGGCGGCCGUGGUGGCAGAGUAUCGGCGUCGUUAAAUUCUCGUGCUCCACCACGGAUCUCCGAGUGCCUCAUCGGUGAUGAGACAGGGUCCAUCCUCUUCACUGCUCGCAACGAACAGGUUGAUUUAAUGAAGCCAGG
rnacentral:misc_RNA from 1 species